UGAAAAAAUUGGUCAAUGAAAAGCAGGACAACUGGGAUGUCUUCUUGGAUGCUACAUUGUUUUCUCUCAGAUCUAAAAUCCACACCACCACAAAAUUCUCUCCUUUUCUGUUAAUGUAUGGAAGGGAGGCAGUUUUCCCCUCUGAGCUUCCUGUUGACAUGCCUCUUUCCACAAUUAUUCUUCCUGAUGAGAAAAGCUAUGGCACAUUUUUUGAUGAAAAAAAAAGGUAGUUGAGACAAUAAAAACAACAACAGCUGAAAACAUCUCCAAGUCACAGGAAAAACAGAAGCAGGCAUUUGCUAAACGAAUACAAAAGAAGUACCAAAACACAGUUUAUCAUGUUGGAGAUGAAGUGCUUCUGCUCAACAUGAGGAAGCGGGGACGGAAGGGAGGAAGAAUUCAACCUGAUUUUACCGGACCUUAUGUCAUCCAGGCAAUAUGUGGAAAGCUGGUUACACUGUCUAAUUCUGAAGGGGAAACUUUAAAGAACAAAUACAAUGUAAACCACAUCAAGCCAUACAGAAGGAGCCAAACUGAUGUCCCAAGUCAGGAAUCACACAAGGUGCCAGAAGAGUAUAAGACCAAUAAACCUCCCUCUAGCCCAGAGCCUCUGACAAUAGAAAAGGAUUUGGCAAAUGUGGCUGAAGAAAUUUGCGUGCCACAGAGGCCUUCAGUAAUUCAUUUUGCCACAAGAAAAGAUGCUGAAAUCCACAAUGAAACAAGAGCGGAAAGAAAUUCAAAGGAAAGCUUAGAAGAAAGAGUUAGAAUGCUCUGGUCUGCCGAAGAUCAUGGCCAGGUGGAAGCAGUUGUUGGACCAUACAAAUUGUAUGAUACAUCUUUCCGUACACUGCAUGGGAAUGAAUGGU